rnacentral:rRNA from 1 species
GAACGAUGAAGCCCAGCUUUGCUGGGUGGAUUAGUGGGCGAACGGGUGAGUAACACGUGAGCAACCUGCCCCUGACUCUGGGAUAAGCGCUGGAAACGGCGUCUAAUACUGGAUAUGUCCCGUCACCGCAUGGUGUGCGGGUGGAAAGAUUUUUCGGUUGGGGAUGGGCUCGCGGCCUAUCAGCUUGUUGGUGAGGUAAUGGCUCACCAAGGCGUCGACGGGUAGCCGGCCUGAGAGGGUGACCGGCCACACUGGGACUGAGACACGGCCCAGACUCCUACGGGAGGCAGCAGUGGGGAAUAUUGCACAAUGGGCGGAAGCCUGAUGCAGCAACGCCGCGUGAGGGAUGACGGCCUUCGGGUUGUAAACCUCUUUUAGCAGGGAAGAAGCGAGAGUGACGGUACCUGCAGAAAAAGCACCGGCUAACUACGUGCCAGCAGCCGCGGUAAUACGUAGGGUGCAAGCGUUAUCCGGAAUUAUUGGGCGUAAAGAGCUCGUAGGCGGUCUGUCGCGUCUGCUGUGAAAUCCCGAGGCUCAACCUCGGGCUUGCAGUGGGUACGGGCAGACUAGAGUGCGGUAGGGGAGAUUGGAAUUCCUGGUGUAGCGGUGGAAUGCGCAGAUAUCAGGAGGAACACCGAUGGCGAAGGCAGAUCUCUGGGCCGUAACUGACGCUGAGGAGCGAAAGGGUGGGGAGCAAACAGGCUUAGAUACCCUGGUAGUCCACCCCGUAAACGUUGGGAACUAGUUGUGGGGUCCUUUCCACGGAUUCCG